ACCUCCUGCGGGAGGCAGCAGUGGGGAAUUUUGGACAAUGGGCGAAAGCCUGAUCCAGCAAUGCCGCGUGAGUGAAGAAGGCCUUCGGGUUGUAAAGCUCUUUUGUCAGGGAAGAAACGGUGAAAGCUAAUAUCUUUUGCUAAUGACGGUACCUGAAGAAUAAGCACCGGCUAACUACGUGCCAGCAGCCGCGGUAAUACGUAGGGUGCAAGCGUUAAUCGGAAUUACUGGGCGUAAAGCGUGCGCAGGCGGUUUUGUAAGUCUGAUGUGAAAUCCCCGGGCUCAACCUGGGAAUUGCAUUGGAGACUGCAAGGCUAGAAUCUGGCAGAGGGGGGUAGAAUUCCACGUGUAGCAGUGAAAUGCGUAGAUAUGUGGAGGAACACCGAUGGCGAAGGCAGCCCCCUGGGUCAAGAUUGACGCUCAUGCACGAAAGCGUGGGGAGCAAACAGGAUUAGAAACCCUUGUAGUCCC
rnacentral:rRNA from 1 species